rnacentral:rRNA from 1 species
GAUGAACGCUGGCGGCGGGCCUAACACAUGCAAGUCGAACGGCAACACAGUGAGAUCGUGCUCUUACCGGUGGCGGGUCGCGGGCGUGUGACGUAUAUAUCGUGCUCUACUCUUUCGGGGAACUUCACGUAAGUAAGGCUACUCUAAUACCGCAUACGAUCUACCGGUGAAAGCAUUGGAUCUUCUCGGCUGUCGCGGAUGGAUUCGCCGAUGGCGAGUGAGCUGGUUGGCGGGGUAAUGACCAACCUAGGCGACGAUCGGUAGCUGGUCGGAGUGGAUGAUCGGCCACACUGGAACUGAGACACGGUCCAGACUCCUACGGGAGGCAGCAGUGGGGAAUAUUAGACAAUGGGCGGAAGCCUGAUACAGCGAUACCGAGUGGGUGGAGAAGGCCUUCGGGUCGUAAAGCCCGUUUGUUGGGAAAGAAAAGCUGUAGGCUAAGACGAAGCUGUAGUGACGGUAACGAAUGAAGAAGCACCGGCUAACUACGUG